GGGCCCGCACAAGCGGUGGAGCAUGUGGUUUAAUUCGAAGCAACGCGCAGAACCUUACCAACCCUUGACAUCCUGUGCCACUCCGAGAGAUCGGACGUUCCCUUCGGGGACGCAGUGACAGGUGCUGCAUGGCUGUCGUUAGCUCGUGUCGUGAGAUGUUCGGUUAAGUCCGGCAACGAGCGCAACCCACAUCCUUAGUUGCCAGCAGUUCGGCUGGGCACUCUAAGGAAACUGCCCGUGAUAAGCGGGAGGAAGGUGUGGAUGACGUCAAGUCCUCAUGGCCCUUACGGGUUGGGCUACACACGUGCUACAAUGGCCAGUACAAAGGGAAGCGAAGUUGUGAAACGGAGCAAAUCCUAUCAAAGCUGGUCUCAGUCCGGAUUGGAGUCUGCAACUCGACUCCAUGAAGU
rnacentral:rRNA from 1 species